GCAAGUGCUGAAAGUCUCCUACCUGCCAGGAGUGCCGGGAGUCUUUUGCAGGACUUUCCAGGUCCAAGUGGGUCACCUGGAGCCGAAAGCGAUCUCCCUCAAAGGAGAGGGGAUCUUUCCCAGGACCUACUUGGACCUGCCCAGGAACACCAAAGGAACCAAACAGUAUGAGAAGAUCCUCAGAGGCAAGAGCAAAGAUGGACUAAGACAGCCAGAGGGAUGAAGCAGUGGUUCUGGGGGAGGCUGCGGCUGUGGAGCCACCCACGGACAACUCGGGCACCGUGUUUGACACUCGGCUGCAGAUGCAGACGGAGCAGGUGCUG